rnacentral:lncRNA from 1 species
UUAAAAUUAAAAUAAAAAAUCAAAUAAAAAAAAUAUAAAAGACUAAAAUGUUAAUUGAAAUUAAGUUGAAGGACCGCAAAUAUAAUUUAACAUUAUUAUUAUUAUUAGAGAAGUAGUUACAUUUAUUGGUGAAAUUGAUGCAACAUAACAUGGAAUUUUAGAACCCUAACGUAAGAGUCCAACAAAUUCUAAUAUUAUACUAAUUAAUAGAUUAAUUUGAAACUUUUAAAAUCCAAAUUAAAACCUAAAACAAAUGUAAAAUAAUACAUAUAAAAUAAAAUCAAAAUAUUAAUUAUCACGUACGUCAGAAGAGAUGAAAUAAUCUAAUAUUCUGAAAUUUUUAAAACAUAAAAUAUGAAAAUGAAAUAAAAAAAAUGGAGUUAAGCCUUAUUAUUAUUAUUAUUUAGAAGAGUGGCUUCCGCAUCACCACCUUCAGCAACUUCAUUUGUGGGAGCUUUUUUGUGACAACGGCGGCUUGGAUGAUGUCCUAGCAUGGCUGCUUUGUGGCAGUGAAAACGUCCACCUCGACUCAUUAGGAUCCCAAACAUCGUUCCUAAGCCAAAUACAACACCUAUUUUAAGGGGUGAUUUCAUUUUCUCGGUUGUAGAUUUUUAUUCACCAAAUUGACAAAUCUUAUCUCAAGGAAAUUUGGGUUUGAG